rnacentral:lncRNA from 1 species
GCGGGGGGGACCAUAGCAUGUAUCUCUACAGCAGUCAAUAAUGGCGACCUGUGAAACCCUAGCUAAUCUCCCAUGGCAAUCGUGCACGCUUCUACAUCUCCUCCCCCUCCCCACUGACAUCUCUGAUGCUGAUACCAUGCACGCGCCGAAGUCACCGACGUCACUAAAUUGGCUUCUUCUACUCAACAAUGCAUCGAGACCCACUUUGCUUUUGGUGCAGCUCGAGGGACUCAUGCACAGACACAAGUCAAUGCACGAGAUGAGCUCUAAUGGAA